GAUGAAGAACGCAGCGAAGUGCGAUAAGUAGUGUGAAUUGCAGAAUUCAGUGAAUCAUCGAAUCUUUGAACGCACAUUGCGCCUUCUAGUAUUCUGGGAGGCAUGCCUGUUUGAGCGUCAUUAAACCUCUCUCAAGUAUGAUUACUUGGAUGUGAAGGAAGAGUACCUUAAACUUAAGGAGUGUUCUCCUUUGAAAUUGAUUAGCAGAUGGUAAUGUUAUUAAAUCCCUGAUGUUGUAAGAAAUAACAGUGGUUUUGUAGACUAUUAUCUAGCUUUAAAUUAUAAUUUUUAUUAUGGUUGACCUCAAAUCAGGUAAGGAUACCCGCUGAACUUAAGCAUAUCAAUAAGCGGAGGA
rnacentral:misc_RNA from 1 species